UUUGUUUUCUCUUAUUUUUGAGUGUAAUUUCACAUUGCGAUAAGACGUGUCACGGUACUUGUCUAUCCCAAAUUCAUGUAUUUGGUUUUGAUAUUAUAUUUGUUAUUCUCGUGGGAUUUUGUCUGAUGCUUGGUCCGUUUCUGUGUGUGUUACAUUUUAGUGUUGUGUCGUUGUUCUCCUCUUAUAUUUAAUGCGUUUCCCG
rnacentral:lncRNA from 1 species